rnacentral:rRNA from 1 species
GUAGGGUGCGAGCGUUAAUCGGAAUUACUGGGCGUAAAGCGUGCGCAGGCGGUUACUUAAGUCAGGUGUGAAAGCCCUGGGCUUAACCUAGGAAUUGCGCUUGAGACUGGGUAGCUUUGAGUGUGGCAGAGGGAGGUGGAAUUCCACGUGUAGCAGUGAAAUGCGUAGAGAUGUGGAGGAACACCGAUGGCGAAGGCAGCCUCCUGGGCCAGCACUGACGCUCAUGCACGAAAGCGUGGGGAGCAAACAGGAUUAGAUACCCUGGUAGUCCACGCCCUAAACGAUGUCAACUGGUUGUUGGUGGGGUUAAACCCAUUAGUAACGAAGCUAACGCGUGAAGUUGACCGCCUGGGGAGUACGGCCGCAAGGUUA